AUUGAACGCUGGCGGCAGGCCUAACACAUGCAAGUCGGGCGAGCGGCGGACGGGUGAGUAAUGUAUGGGGACUGCCCGAUGGAGGGGGAUAACUACUGGAAACGGUGGAUAAUACCGCAUACUAUCGGAUAACCCAUAUGGGAUUAGCUAGUAGGUGGGGGAAAGGCUCACGUAGGCGACGAUCUCUAGCUGGUCUGAGAGGAUGAGCAGCCACACUGGGACUGAGACAGGGCCGAGACUCCUACGGAGGCAGCAGUGGGGAAUAUUGCACAAGGGGGGAAAUCCUGCUGAAGACAUGCGGCGUGUAUGAAGAAGGUCUUAGGGUUGUAAAGUACUUUCAGCGGGGAGGCGGUACCCGCAGAAGAAGCACCGGCUAACUCCGUGCCAGCAGCCGCGGUAAUAC
rnacentral:rRNA from 1 species